rnacentral:rRNA from 1 species
UACGUAGGGACCAAGCGUUGUCCGGAAUCAUUGGGCGUAAAGCGCGCGUAGGUGGCCAUUUAAGUCCGCUGUGAAAGUCAGAGGCUCAACCUUUGAAAGCCGGUGGAUACUGGAUGGCUAGAGUACGGAAGAGGCGAGUGGAAUUCCUGGUGUAGCGGUGGAAUGCGCAGAUAUCAGGAGGAACACCGGUGGCGAAGGCGGGUCUCUGGGCCGAUACUGACGCUGAGGAGCGAAAGCGUGGGGGAGCGAACAGG